rnacentral:lncRNA from 1 species
AUGGUCGCUCAAACCGAACUUCUAGUGCUAUGUCUAUCCGUUUUCAUCUACCGUGUGACAUGUCCCGAGACGCAUCAUCAUUCGCCUACCAAGGGAGUUGCCGGGUCUCCCACCAGGUCACCUUCCGGGUCGGGGUCGCCCAACAGGUCGUUCAAAAGGUCGCCUUCCAGGACACUCUCCGGGACCUCCUCGAGUUGGAUCCAUCCGUCCAGAAUGUUAGUAAACCCCCAGAUUUGGCGGUCACCACCUUAUCCAGACACAAAGGGAGAUCCUCUCUGCAAGACCGAAUAUGUAGCCGCCCAAUUCCCGUCGGCCAGUUACUAUUGCAAGUUAGAGUGCGCAGCCCUCUCGAGGCAAGCGGAAUUAAUCUUCACGAGGUACGGAAAAGAGGAGGCUCUGGCCAGGACGAACAGCCGCCAAUGCUCCGAUUUCGUGAAUGAAGGGGUUUGUACCAACUACCUCCGCGAUAGUGUGUCUUUCUGCUGGUGCCUGGGCAGGGACUACAUGCAGCUCGCUAUUGUCUGUCGCGCCCUCAUAGAAGGGUCGCGGAACUACGUCAACGCCAGGAUCGCCGCCCUCAACAUCUGGGAAAUCAACGUUCGACCCACUCUGCCCGAUAUGCCGGCUCUGCCCAAUAUACCCGGUUGGAUACCCGGUUUACCCAGUCGACCUCGUCUGCCCGGUUGGCCUAGUUGGUCUAGUAUUCCCAAUAUUCCCGGAGCCGGUCUUGUGCGCGGCAGUAUGGAGUGGUUGAGAGGCUGGAACGCCAAACCUGAGCGACGCUCACCAAGCAGGAGAUUUAAUGGGCCUAAAAUUAUCGAAAUCCAAGAAGGCUAGGUAGAUUAGUACAGGUAUGGAAAAGUUGGAAAUUUCCCAUGAGCCUCAGUACGUGUCACAUGACUUCGUGACGUAGGUUACGGGGCCCGUUUUUUAAUUAAAUUACAAUCAAAUUACCAUUCAAACGUUUGUGCGUUUAAACGUUAAAAUUAAUAUCGCAUUAUCAAAACUGUGCAAAAAAUCCCACAAAAUUUUGACAAACGAUAAACCGAACAUAAUAAAUCAAAAUAAUCAAAACAUUCGAAAUGGCUGACGUUAAGGGGCCGCUGGAGAGCCAAUCAGAGGCCAGUUGUUUAGUUCUGUCCAUACCUGUAUUAAUCUACCUUGCAAGAAGGGACACCCGGCUCCUCCUAGAGUACCUGUAUAGCGAGAGUACGAACAGAUCGCUUCAUGGAGGUAUUAGGGCCCAAAAAUGCAGACAUCCCUCUCAUCAACUUCUACCACACAAAAUUUCACCGCCAGUCUGCAGACUCUAAUUCUAAUCAAGAUGACCAAGAAUGUACAGAAAUGAGCGUUCUUCCGCAAAAAUGAGUAAAUUUAUGCAAAAACUGAGUCAAAUGCGUGCUUUAAAAAUGACGGUUCGUAACAAUAGUAUUAGUAAAUCGUUCUGGAUAAGUGGAAUUCAUAGGUUGCCUGUAUUUCUGGGCCCUAACUUUAUUCGCAGAAGCAUCGAUGAAAGCCUAAUGGAUUUUCGGAGUUUCACAUCUGUCCAUACUCUCGUCAUACAGGUAUUCUAGCUCCUCCCACGGAGAAGUAACUUAGAUUUCAUCACGAAUUCAGAGUCCUUUUAUGUCCAGAGUUACGACAUCUCAAUUCUGGUCGGGCUGAAGGGGCCUAAAAAAAUCCAGUUCUGAUUGGUUCUCGCUCAUGGAUUCACAAAAGAGUGCACCAAUAUGGCGGUGGCUCAAAUUUAAACAAAAAUAAUGGAACAAUAACCUAAUUGUGAUUUAUUAUAGGGGUAAAUUGUUAUUUUCAUCGCCUUAGAAUAAAAAUAGACUAAGAAAUUAUUCACAAAUCAAUCUCAUUUUAUUUUAUUGCAAUUUCUUUGCGGUUAGAUUAUGAUCAGGUUUAUUGAUGGUGUUAUUUUUGGAUAACAAACACCGCAGGAUUCCUUAUCCUUAUUCCUCAAUAUAGUGCGUUUGGGUGCACUUUUUUGUGACACCAUGAGCAAUCCACGAUCAGCCUGAGCUUAAAGUUUGGCGUCAGUUUGAUGAGUUUGUUGCUUGGUGAACGUCAGGAUUUAGCGGGCCGCCAAAUCCUGACCAUCAGUCAUCGUUCCGAAUUACAUGAAUUCCACUCGUCUUCUCACCUUUUAUCUAUUUAAAUACCCACAAAAGUCAGUUGAAAACGAUCAAAUUUAAUGACACCAAGGCGUGGAUGCAUCUAAACUUGCUCAGUGACUGUGCGUGUUGCAUACUUUCAAAUUUGAAGGCUUCUUGGAACUUGGAACUCACGUCAGCUAUGCAUUAGCGUAGCGCGUAGCACCAAGUUGCUGACGAAAUGUUCUUGUAAACAUACUAAUUAAGUGAUGAUGAGAGAUCCUCGCUCUUAUCAAAAGGAGUGAAAAAUGUAUAUGCUUUUCUGAAAAAAAAAGACUAGAUAUUAGUUUCCGAAAUUGGAGCUUGGUGCCUUGAAAUGUACCUGCACCGGGCGAAAAUCAACAUGCGCGUUGCGCAACAUCCUGUUUGGAAAUUAAUUGGAAUAUCUUUUUGAUGCUUUUCUUUUUAUCCAAUUUGGAUUUUCAUGUUCUCAUUUUCACUUGUGUUAAUUCACGUAGUUAAACUUAAUUGGAAUUUUAUAAUUAUGCUCCCUUUAGUUUGUACUUUUAUUCUGUUUUUUCCUUACUUAUUUAUUUCAAUUUUAUAUCUUGUCCUUUCUUUUUCUUCAUAAUUUACACUUCCUCUUCUUUAGUGUAACCUUUAUGUUUGUGAUUUUAAUUUUUUACAUUUUUACUGUGGUCUUUUUUGGCUGUAUUAAAGUCUUUUUUCGGCUGUAUCACAGUCUUUUUCUUUUGGUAU